CGUAGGGUGCGAGCGUUAAUCGGAAUUACUGGGCGUAAAGCGUGCGCAGGCGGUUUGUUAAGAUAGGCGUGAAAUCCCCGGGCUCAACCUGGGAACUGCGCUUAUGACUGGCAAGCUAGAGUACGGCAGAGGGGGGUGGAAUUCCACGUGUAGCAGUGAAAUGCGUAGAGAUGUGGAGGAACACCAAUGGCGAAGGCAGCCCCCUGGGUCGAUACUGACGCUCAUGCACGAAAGCGUGGGUAGCAAACAGGAUUAGAUACCCUGGUAGUCCACGCCCUAAACGAUGUCAACUAGGUGUUGGAUGGGUAAAACCAUUUAGUACCGGAGCUAACGCGUGAAGUUGACCGCCUGGGGAUACGGCCGCAAGGUUA
rnacentral:rRNA from 1 species